rnacentral:tRNA from 1 species
AUUUAUAUAGUUUAAAAUAAAAACAUUUUAUUUUCAAUAAAAAAUUAAUAGAAUUUAUUUAUAAAUA